rnacentral:misc_RNA from 1 species
GAAAUGCGAUAAGUAAUGUGAAUUGCAGAAUUCAGUGAAUCAUCGAAUCUUUGAACGCACCUUGCGCUCCUUGGUAUUCCUUGGAGCAUGCCUGUUUGAGUAUCAUGAAAUCUUCAAAGUAAAUCUUUUGUUAACUCAAUUGGUUUCUACUUUGGUAUUGGAGGUCUUUGCAGCUUCACACCUGCUCCUCUUUGUUCAUUAGCUGGAUCUCAGUGUUAUGCUUGGUUCCACUCGGCGUGAUAAGUUAUCUAUCGCUGAGGACACUGUAAAAGGUGGCCAAGGUAUAUGCAGAUGAACCGCUUCUAAUAGUCCAUUGACUUGGACAAUACUUUUAUGAUCUGAUCUCAAAUCAGGUAGGACUACCCGCCGAACUUAAGC